rnacentral:rRNA from 1 species
CAAUGGCUGUUCCCAGCUCGUGUUGUGAAAUGUUGGGUUAAGUCCCGCAACGAGCGCAACCCUUAUCCUUUGUUGCCAGCGGUUCGGCCGGGAACUCAAAGGAGACUGCCAGUGAUAAACUGGAGGAAGGUGGGGAUGACGUCAAGUCAUCAUGGCCCUUACGAGUAGGGCUACACACGUGCUACAAUGGCAUAUACAAAGAGAAGCGACCUCGCGAGAGCAAGCGGACCUCAUAAAGUAUGUCGUAGUCCGGAUUGGAGUCUGCAACUCGACUCCAUGAAGUCGGAAUCGCUAGUAAUCGUAGAUCAGAAUGCUACGGUGAAUACGUUCCCGGGCCUUGUACACACCGCCCGUCACACCAUGGGAGUGGGUUGCAAAAGAAGUAGGUAGCUUAACCUUCGGGAGGGCGCUACCACUUUGGUAU